GGGGCUCGAACUCACGGACCGCGAGAUCGUGACCUGGCUGAAGUCGGACGCUUAACCGACUGCGCCACCCAGGGGCCCCUGGAUCUGGGUUUUAUAUGAGGUUCUAGGAAAAAUAUUCCUACUGCUUUCCUAUACAGAAGCUACGUCAGAUUCAAGGCCAAUGUGAUUAUAAUUUGCUCUUUGCUAUAAUUCUUAAUGUUUUAUUUUCUUUUAAUAAAAAAGUCUGAUAUUCAAUCUUCCAAUAACAUUUUAGCCAGAGUCUAAAUUGUCAAAUGCAAUUGCCAACAAAGGCGUGGUUUCUUUUUCCCUCUGUGAAUGGAACUAGAUACCUCCAUUUAACUACCUGCUGUUUUUCUCGUGCAGUGGGCUAACUACACAGUAUUUAAUAGUCUACAGGUCUGAAAAUAUUUCUUAUAUGCCUUGGCUUUCACAGAGUGCUUCUGCAAAACCAGUUAAUAAUCUGGCCAUCCCAAGAGUCCAGAAUGUUGAGUUAAUUUUUUACAGAGGUUCCCAGAUGUGCUGGGAGACUCACUUAUAGGAGAGCCAGGCAAUAUUUUUUUUUUUUUUGUAAGAUUUCAUUUGACCUUUCUUGUAUCUGAUAUGAAACACAUGUUAAAAACAAUACCUGACAAUUAUGAAAUGCAUGUUUUGCGUAAGCAAAAACACCGUGAAUACAUCUCUUACAAAGUUUUGAAAGGCAGAGAUGGAAGGUUUUCGCUGCAAAACUGUAUUAGCAUUUAGCCAAGUUAAUCAUACAUCUCGACGAUGAUUCUUUAUCCCACAUGUCCUUGGUAUUCAGUGGGUAGGUCAUUAGGCCCAUGGAGAAAUAAGUGGGAAAAUGUCCAAGGGAUGAAAAACGUCUAUAUAGCAUGUGGAGAAGUGGAUAGUUUUACCAGGUACUGAAUUUCAGCUUUAAGAGGUGCAGGUUCUGAUCCCAGCCAGAACACUUGAGAGGACUAACUGCUGGGAAGGAAGAAGAAUAACAACGUGAGCCUGUGAACGUUCCAACGAGAUCCUGCGUUAGCUGUUUCUUCUCGCAGGUUCAUUUUGUGUCAUUGAGGAACAGGGAACGGGGAGUGUCAAGGCUCCCGCAUGAAGAUUUCCUUUAAGUCCUCUGGGCCUCAGUCAUUAUUUCCAUUGCCUACUUUCCCCAUGGACCUGGUUUUUCUCCCAAGGUGAGACACAGAAUCCCAAAAGUUUUGCCCUAGAGAAAGGCACACUUGAAGAUCUUUCUUCCAUUUUCCUCACGAGGUUAGCUCAAGAGAUUCAGAGACUGACGUAACAACGGAGACCGGAAAUAAGUUGACAAAAUACCUUGACUAAUGAAGAGCUCAUUUGUCUAUAGGAGUUACACUGACACAAGUUCAUUCAAUAAUGUACUCGCUUUGUGAUCUCUUCUUCCUCUUUUAACUGCCUUUUUGCUGAACAAAAAUACAUAGGACAUAGGCUUAUGAUUAGUGAGUAUGGUAUCCAAUGGAUACAAAUUAUAAGGUAAAGGGAAGGAGUAGAUGGGCACAUUACAUGUGUUUCAGAACCAUAUAAUUUCAUGGUGUAGACCUGUUUGGGGGAGGAGGGAAGCAGCAAAUGUCCAUACAUUCUCUCAUUUAAACCUCACAGCAACCUUGUUCAGUGUUUGUAUCAGUAUCCAUUUACAGACAGGGGAACUCAAAGACACUGAUGGGUUGGAACAGGGUUUUGAACUGGGAACUCCAAAAUGAUGUUUGAUGCAUUUGUGAGCCAGUGAUUUUUUUUUUAAAUAUUGGAUAAUAUCAAGUAGCAAGCCUAGAGAUGUGAUGGGCUGACCAGCACAUUUCAAAGCUUUGUUCUUACUGUUCCUUUUAAACCCCGGAGCUCGAACUAACCGCCCCCCGCCCCAUUCUCUAUCUCCACCAUCCCAUCCCCCAGUACGGUCACCCAUGACAGGACAAAUUGUUAGCCGCUUUGAGAAUGUUUGUGCACUGCAGAGUUGAGGAAGGGGGAGGAAGCAGUGCAUCCCAGAGCAGAGGGGAAAAUCCCUCUUUUGAUGAAACAUCCUGUGUGGCCAUUCCGAAGCUUGGAUUUCCCCAAAGUGAGGUUACGCAGCAUGCUGUUGCUUGUCACAUGGCCUCAGUUCAAAGUCACAUCUGCUGUGGCCUUUUGUAAAAUUUACCUAUAUAUGGCCCACACAAAGCCACAAACACAGAACCCAAAAUAGCGUUGACCUCUGAGAUAUUCAGCAGAAAGAAACGGCACCAUUUUUAUGAAUUCAGUGCAUGAGAUACACCACAAGGAGGAAAUGAACCCUAUUAGCUUAAACAUGCACCUCCUUUCCAUACUGAAAGAUUAAUUUGGAUGACUGCGGUUUAAUAUUGUUACUUGUGUUCAGUUACGAAUGUAACUUGACGGAUUGGGAAAGCAGGUGCUUGACUGAUGCACACCGUGCCUGAGACCCAUGAGUCAAUGUCACUGAUUUACAAGCUGUCCUUACCAUGAAAACGAAAGCCAGAGCCAACUCUGUGUCAUACAAUUUAUGCCAUUCACUGAAAUUACAGAUAAUUUCAGUCUGUGCAUUUGUGAAAUAGUCUAUGCCAUUUUUGCUUUAAAUGUCUUUUGAACUUGGUAUUUCUAACUUGUCUAAAUAAAUAUUAUCAUCCAUAAUAACCAUUACCAAUCCAUUAGGAGGCUUCAUGAAAGUACAUACAGCUUUUAGACUUAAUCCAUGCAAUAAAGCCUUAUGACUUCUGCCUCCGUCUUUGAUAAACAGUCGAGUUCUUACAGCUGUUAUUAUUUCACUUACAAAGAAAAUUGGAACUUUUGCAUCCUUCAGGGACUAAAACUCACUUAAAAAAAACCAUUUCUUCAAAUUCUGUUAUUUUUUUUUCCCUCAUGUGUAUGGAAAGCUAUGGGUCUGAUGAGUGUAGCUGAUUGCAGCAUUGUGCUGAAGGCCAAGGCCCCUCGUUCCAGCCCACGGGAGCUCAGCUAGGUUAACCCUCCAAGUCUAUUGAAAAUUUGUUCUAUUAGUCUAGGCCAGAUUAGGUGAGAGAAUAUAAAUAGAUCCGCACAAAUCCAGUCUUUGAUGCCAGGAGAUUGUAGCUCAGACCACACUCAACAUUGAUACAGGGGCGGCCAAUAAUGUCAUCUCCCCAGAGACUGAUGACACCGAAGCAGGAGCACCUUAGAGACACCUGUCCUCCCCCACCUUUUACAGCUGUUUGCUUACUCCUGUACAAGCCACCCUAACAGAGAGAACUCCCGGACGCUGAUCGCAGUAGGCUCUGCCUCUCCAAGACGAUUUUGGAUUUCUCACAUCCAACACCAAAUGGAGUAUAUAGCCUGGGAUUGUUCGUAUCACACCCAGGUCAUUUCUUCUCUCUCUGUAUUCCCCGCUCCACCACAACCACCAUCCUUGUGGAAGUUUCUCAGUUCGACACGCUAAUUCUACCUUUUCUCUUUUGUCACUAAAUAAUGACCAACUUAGCGAACCACAAAGGUUGCUCUUGAGUUCACACCCCCUUUUUAAGUCAUUUUGCCCCCAUAUCAGUAACGAGAACUCUUUGGUUAAUAUCACCCUUUCCCAAAUCUGAAAUCCUUGUUUCUCUUUGCAAAACAAGAACCCAGCUGAUUGUAUUCAAUCUCAAGCACAUUUGUCCUUAACAGGGUUAGAGCCAUAAACCUUAAUCCUAGGCCCUGAAUCUCCAAAAGAAUUUCUGGAAUUUGACUCUCUCCUGUCCAUUCUUUAUGCCUAUGAUAACACUUUGUUGUGAUUGAAACAUGUAAAUGGAUCUUUGUUUCCCAAGGAUAGUACGGAAAUUAUUUUAAACGCCUUGCGAAAAGCCUUAGCGACCUGGACUCUUGUUUUCCAGUUCAGUUUUAUUUUCCUUGUUUCAAUUUUACUGUGUUACUUAAGUCCUCCAGGUUUUUGGUUAUUGGUCCCAUCUGCCUGGCUUCCUAUCCCCAUCCUUCCCUACCUCACUAAUUUACUCAUUCUUCACCUCUUAGUUGAGAGUAGUGUUCUGCUGGGAAGCCUUCAUCGAUCCCCACGUAGUCAGCUACGGGACCCUCUUAUGAGCAAUCUAUACAUUCCCCUCUGGUGUCAUGUAUCCCAAUGAUUAUAACUGCCUGGUUACUUGUCAGUAUUUCCCCCCUCUCCUGAAAACACUGCACAGGAUACUAACUGCCUGGUCUAUAACAGAAACUCUCGACAAACGCUAGUUGAGAGAACAAACCAAGGCUAUGUUGUAGGAGGGGAUUUGGCAUUCUGGUGUCCCCGUCACCAUUUUGCAUAGGUGGUUGCUACCCGAAAGUUCUGCCAUCAUGCUGGUGUCAGACUGAUGGUUUUCAAAAAAUAACUCAGUGCUGCUGAUACACACAAUUGUAAGCCAAAAAGAGAACUCAAGGGUCAUUAACUUUUCUUUCCUUUUCUUUGGUACCACCAAAUUAACGCAUUUAGCAUUUUCUGAUCUACAAAGACUUAUAACCCCUGCUCCCUAUGACUUAACUAGGAAGCCACCCAUCUGCUACUCAUCCAACCCAGCCAGGGUUGCAUUUUCCCUCAAAGAGAACUGUAGGUGAAUCUCCUGAAAUGGUCAUUUUAUAAUCACCUCAAAGGGAAAACAACCUACCAGCCUAAGAGGGGAGUGAUUUGAGAACAGAAUUAUGUAUUUACAGUUAUCAAGGCUGAUGGACACUGGAAAAGUAAAUUAAAAUUAUAGAUAGCAAGCUGUGGAGUUUGGCUUGACUUCAAAGGGAGUUUUAAUAUGUUCUUAGGCCAAUGUCUGCUACUCAAGGUCGAUAAGAAAAGUUUAAUCUUCUUGUGGAAUAGAGCUGAGUCACUUUCAUCAUAUCGGUGUACUUGGCUGGUUGUCAUGAUUCUCUCAAGAGAUGAUGUCACCCAAAUUGAGCUUUGCUAGAGUCUUGCCUAGAAAUAGAUUGACUUAUUUACUAGCUCACAAAGACAAGGGGUUCUAAAAUCAGUGACAAGUGAAAAUAAAAUGUCUUAUUUAUCCCAAACACCAUGGACAGAUGCGUGUCUUGGCACAUUUAAGUAUUCAUCCACGGCUGUCUGUAAGCAGAAUGGACGAGGAGAAAUUUACCUUUUGCGAAUAGGAAAUAUCAAGGUGAUAUUGAUCAUUUUUACUUCCUUUUUCUUUGUUUACAAGAUGAGUCUUCAGGCUCCCAAAGGUAAAUUUUAGAAUUGUCACACUGCUUUAAGAAAUUGUCAUAAACUCUUUCCCCAAAUCCUUCAUUUCUUGUUUAAUUUGUUCUUGAUGGCAUUGUUUACACUAUAGGGAUGCUCCUUAAUAGAUUAAAUUCUAUCAUUUCAAUAAGUCAUCCAAGGAAAAUGUAGCACAGACUUUGAGGAAAAAGAGAAAGAAUGGCAAAAAAUCAAAUGGCAUACAAUUAAACUUUGCUUUAUUUCCCUAAA